UUACUUACCUUGUAGGGUAGUUAUCAUGAUCACAAAGGUGGUCUCUUUAGGGUGAGGCUAACCCAUUGCACUCCUGCUGCGCUGACGCAAUUUCUCCAACUGUAAGAAAUUCAACUGCGUAAUUUGUGGUAGUGGGGAACUGCACUCACAUUCUCCCCU